UACGUAGGGUGCAAGCGUUGUCCGGAAUUAUUGGGCGUAAAGAGCUCGUAGGCGGUUUGUCGCGUCUGCUGUGAAAACCUAGGGCUUAACCCUGGGCCUGCAGUGGGUACGGGCAGACUAGAGUGCGGUAGGGGAGAGCUGGAAUUCCUGGUGUAGCGGUGAAAUGCGCAGAUAUCAGGAGGAACACCAAUUGCGAAGGCAGCUCGCUGGAACGUUACUGACGCUGAGACGCGAAAGCGUGGGGAGCAAACAGG
rnacentral:rRNA from 1 species